rnacentral:rRNA from 1 species
GAUCUGGUCAGGACGAACGCUGGCGGCGUGCCUAACACAUGCAAGUCGAACGGAGUCAAGAAGCUUGCUUUUGACUUAGUGGCGGACGGGUGAGUAACGCGUGAGUAACCUGCCUCUGAGAGGGGAAUAACGUUCUGAAAAGAACGCUAAUACCGCAUAACGUAUUGAAGCCGCAUGACUUUGAUACCAAAGAUUUUAUCGCUCGGAGAUGGACUCGCGUCCGAUUAGUUAGUUGGUGAGGUAACGGCUCACCAAGACCGCGAUCGGUAGCCGGACUGAGAGGUUGAUCGGCCACAUUGGGACUGAGACACGGCCCAGACUCCUACGGGAGGCAGCAGUGGGGGAUAUUGCGCAAUGGGGGCAACCCUGACGCCAGCAACGCCGCGUGAAGGAUGAAGGUUUUCGGAUUGUAAACUUCUUUUAUCAGGGACGAAAUCUGACGGUACCUGAUGAAUAAGCUCCGGCUAACUACGUGCCAGCAGCCGC